AUUGAACGCUGGCGGCAUGCUUUACACAUGCAAGUCGAACGGUAACAGGGAGCUUGCUCCGCUGACGAGUGGCGAACGGGUGAGUAAUGCGUCGGAACGUGCCGAGUAGUGGGGGAUAACGCAUCGAAAGGUGUGCUAAUACUGCAUACGAACUGAGGUUGAAAGUGGGGGACCUUCGGGCCUCACGCUAUUCGAGCGGCCGACGUCUGAUUAGCUAGUUGGUGAGGCAAAGGCUCACCAAGGGGACGAUCAGUAGCGGGUCUGAGAGGAUGAUCCGCCCGACUGGGACUGGGACACGGCCCAGACUCCUACGGGAGGCAGCCGUGGGGAAUUUUGGACAAUGGGCGCAAGCCUGAUCCAGCCUUGCCGCGUGUCUGAAGAAGGCCUUCGGGUUGUAAAGGACUUUUGUCCGGGAGCAAAUGCUGGUGGCUAACAUCCACCGGAGCUGAGAGUACCGGAAGAAUAAGCACCGGCUAACUACGUGCCAGCCGCCGCCGUAACAC
rnacentral:rRNA from 1 species